rnacentral:rRNA from 1 species
AGAGUUUGAUCAUGGCUCAGGAUGAACGCUGGCGGCGUGCCUAACACAUGCAAGUCGAACGGUCCGCAAGGAUAGUGGCGCACGGGUGAGUAACACGUAGCUAACCUGCCUCCAAGCGCGGGACAACGCCCCGAAAGGGGUGCUAAUACCGCAUAAGCUCCCGGGAAUGUAGAGGCCCGAGAGAAAAGGCUUCGGUCACUUGGAGAGGGGGCUGCGGCCCAUCAGGUAGUUGGCGGGGUAAUGGCCCACCAAGCCGACGACGGGUAGGGGGUCUGAGAGGAUGGUCCCCCACACUGGGACUGAGACACGGCCCAGACUCCUACGGGAGGCAGCAGUGAGGGAUAUUGCACAAUGGGGGAAACCCUGAUGCAGCGACGCCGCGUGGGUGAUGAAGGUCUUCGGAUCGUAAAACCCUUUUCUAGGCGACGAGCAAGGACGGUAGCCUAGGAAUAAGUCUCGGCUAACUACGUGCCAGCAGCCGCGGUAAAACGUAGGAGGCAAGCGUUAUCCGGAGUUACUGGGCGUAAAGCGCAAGUAGGCGGUUGGGCAAGUGGCGUGUGAAAGCUCCCGGCUAAACUGGGGGAGGACACGUCAGACUGCACGGCUAGAGGGUGAUAGAGGGGCGCAGAAUUCGGGGUGUAGCGGUGAAAUGUGUAGAGAUCCCGAGGAAUACCAGUGGUGAAGACGGCGCCCUGGGUCACAACUGACGCUGAGAUGCGAAAGCGUGGGGAGCGAACGGGAUUAGAUACCCUGGUAGUCC